UACGUAGGUGGCGAGCGUUGUCCGGAUUUACUGGGCGUAAAGGGAGCGUAGGCGGACUUUCAAGUGAGAUGUGAAAUACUCGGGCUCAACUUGAGUGCUGCAUUUCAAACUGGAAGUCUAGAGUGCAGGAGAGGAGAAUGGAAUUCCUAGUGUAGCGGUGAAAUGCGUAGAGAUUAGGAAGAACACCAGUGGCGAAGGCGAUUCUCUGGACUGUAACUGACGCUGAGGCUCGAAAGCGUGGGGAGCAAACAGG
rnacentral:rRNA from 1 species